GGGGCUGUGGUCGAGCGGUUUAAGAUUCCUGACUGUCGAUCAGGAGGUCGCGGGUUCAAAUCCCGUCAGCCCCG
rnacentral:tRNA from 1 species